UACGGAGGGUGCAAGCGUUAUCCGGAUUCACUGGGUUUAAAGGGUGCGUAGGCGGGCAGGUAAGUCAGUGGUGAAAUCUUCGAGCUUAACUCGGAAACUGCCUUUGAUACUAUCUGUCUUGAAUAUUGUGGAGGUAAGCGGAAUAUGUCAUGUAGCGGUGAAAUGCUUAGAGAUGACAUAGAACACCCAUUGCGAAGGCAGCUUACUACGCAUAUAUUGACGCUGAGGCGCGAAAGCGUGGGGAGCGAACAGG
rnacentral:rRNA from 1 species